rnacentral:rRNA from 1 species
GACAGAGGCCCCAAGCGUUAGGCGGAAUCACUGGGCUUAAAGCGUGUGUAGGCGGAUCGUUAAGUGUCUUGUGAAAUCCCACGGCUCACCCGUGGAACUGCUGGGCAUACUGGCGAUCUUGGGCCAACUAGGGGCAGUCGGAACAAGCGGUGGAGCGGUGAAAUGCGUAGAUAUCGCUUGGAACGCCGAAGGUGAAAACAGACUGCUGGGGUUGCGCCGACGCUGAGACACGAAAGCCAGGGGAGCGAACGGG